AUUGAACGCUGGCGGAAUGCUUUACACAUGCAAGUCGAACGGCAGCACGGACUUCGGUCUGGUGGCGAGUGGCGAACGGGUGAGUAACAUAUCGGAACGUAUCCAAUAAUGGGGGAUAACGAGUCGAAAGAUUCGCUAAUACCGCAUACGCCCUACGGGGGAAAGCUGGGGACCUUCGGGCCUGGCGUUAAUGGAGCGGCCGAUAUCUGAUUAGCUAGUUGGUGAGGUAAAGGCGCACCAAGGCGACGAUCAGUAGCUGGUCUGAGAGGACGACCAGCCACACUGGAACUGAGACACGGUCCAGACUCCUACGGGAGGCAGCAGUGGGGAAUUUUAGACAAUGGGCGCAAGCCUGAUCCAGCCAUUCCGCGUGAGUGAAGAAGGCCUUCGGGUUGUAAAGCUCUUUCGCAAGGGAAGAAAACUUAGCCACUAACAUUGGUUGAGGUUGACGGUACCUUGAUAAGAAGCACCGGCUAACUACGUGCCAGCCGCCGCCGUAA
rnacentral:rRNA from 1 species